CUCUUCGUUACGUCCGAGAACAUUUCACCAGAAGCUUCUUCUUGCCUCCUCUCUCUGUCUCUUCUUCUUUAUGCGUCUUCUUCUUCAUGUCACAGUUAUCAUCUCCCUCACGAUACCACAGGCGAAGGAUGAUGUCAUCAGCACGAGUCUAAGACAAAGCAGCUCAACGAAUCUCCGGUUCUUCCAGCGAUGAGCCGAACCAGCCUGAGUCUGAGCCGAUCUCCUUCCUUCGACACGUGAGCGACCUGUUCAUCAAGAAAGAUAACUGCAGAAGCCGAACUUCGACACACAAAGAUAAGUUUUCUUUCUUCCUAAUCUUUGAUUAGAUUCUUCCAGAUUUUAGGGUUUUUCUUUGGGAUUAGAUUUCAGGUUCCGAUUAAAUACAGAGAUGAGUAUACGAACACACGCACACACACACUCUAGAACACAGAUUUAACGAGUUCAGAUUCCCAGUGUGGGAGAUCCUACAUCUCGGCAGGGACUUUGCCCUAGGUUAAUCCACUAUUACGUUCUUGCACCAUUACAACAGAGGAAUAUAUCAUUCUCUCUAAUAUACAAGCAUACACAGAAUCGGGAUUAGAAACUUAGCUCUUUCCCUUGAGUUUUCCUCCUUUCCGAUCACAGAACUUGCCAUUCUUAUGCAUCGAAGCUGAUCUCUUCCUCCAUUUCUUUUGCAGCUUAGUCAGCCUCCACAGAAGAAAACGAGAAGAAGAAUACUCUGCGUGCUCUCUGUGCUGAACUAAUGUGUAUUCUCGUUCCAAAACCAUUUCUGAUUUCUCAUACCUUUUAUAGCAGAUUUAGCAGGUAACAACUCUGAGAUUCUUUGUUAGUUUGUUAUCAACAAACUUUACCCGAUUUGUAAACAACCUUCCACGUAGGAUUAUUCUUUAGCAUCGCCAAAUCUCAUAGUCAUUAUCCCAACAAUCUCCACCUUGACUUGAGAUUUCAUCAUGGAUUAACCUAGAGCUUUAUCAGACUUUGUAGUCUUUGAAAUCCGGACAUGUUCAACACCUUUCAUCGAACAUUCCCAUCCCUGUAACCUUAGAAGCUUGACCACUUCUUAAUAGCACAGCUAGCAUCUCACUGCUGAAUUUAUCCCGGUGUCAUCUAAGUUCGCAACCCGACUUAGAACCGUUUUUCCAUGUCUCAUGCCCUGAAACAAUCCGUCACUGUCCACCAAAAAACCGGUUGAACAGAAUUUCCUUGACCUUCCUUGUUACAACACCCCGUGUAGCAAGUCUGUACUUCCCGCGAUCUUCCCUGCGCUCCACAAUGCUCCACCUAGACCGGCACACUGUGCAUUCCAGAUUUUCCUUCACUUCACUGUUUCCCUGAACCGGUUUAACAGCUUUUGUCCAUUGCUGUCGCCAUCUUUCUUGACCGAAAAACUGCAGCAACCCUUUUCCCGUGAGCUCCACCUUCAACCGGAACUCAUCGUAGCUCCGAGUCUAUCCUGACUCUAAAACAGCUUCAUGCGAUUGUUGACGAUGAUCUCUCCUGAACCCGAGUCUCAUUCCUUCAAUUAGCAAACUGCUCCACGCCAUUGAAUAGUUAUCAUCUCCCUCACGAUACCACAGGCGAAGGAUGAUGUCAUCAGCACGAGUCUAAGACAAAGCAGCUCAACGAAUCUCCGGUUCUUCCAGCGAUGAGCCGAACCAGCCUGAGUCUGAGCCGAUCUCCUUCCUUCGACACGUGAGCGACCUGUUCAUCAAGAAAGAUAACUGCAGAAGCCGAACUUCGACACACAAAGAUAAGUUUUCUUUCUUCCUAAUCUUUGAUUAGAUUCUUCCAGAUUUUAGGGUUUUUCUUUGGGAUUAGAUUUCAGGUUCCGAUUAAAUACAGAGAUGAGUAUACGAACACACGCACACACACACUCUAGAACACAGAUUUAACGAGUUCAGAUUCCCAGUGUGGGAGAUCCUACAUCUCGGCAGGGACUUUGCCCUAGGUUAAUCCACUAUUACGUUCUUGCACCAUUACAACAGAGGAAUAUAUCAUUCUCUCUAAUAUACAAGCAUACACAGAAUCGGGAUUAGAAACUUAGCUCUUUCCCUUGAGUUUUCCUCCUUUCCGAUCACAGAACUUGCCAUUCUUAUGCAUCGAAGCUGAUCUCUUCCUCCAUUUCUUUUGCAGCUUAGUCAGCCUCCACAGAAGAAAACGAGAAGAAGAAUACUCUGCGUGCUCUCUGUGCUGAACUAAUGUGUAUUCUCGUUCCAAAACCAUUUCUGAUUUCUCAUACCUUUUAUAGCAGAUUUAGCAGGUAACAACUCUGAGAUUCUUUGUUAGUUUGUUAUCAACAAACUUUACCCGAUUUGUAAACAACCUUCCACGUAGGAUUAUUCUUUAGCA